ACGGGUGAGUAACACGUGGGAACGUACCCUUUGGUUCGGAAUAACGCUGGGAAACUAGCGCUAAUACCGGAUACGCCCUUUUGGGGAAAGGCUUGCUGCCGAAGGAUCGGCCCGCGUCUGAUUAGCUAGUUGGUGGGGUAAUGGCCUACCAAGGCGACGAUCAGUAGCUGGUCUGAGAGGAUGAUCAGCCACACUGGGACUGAGACACGGCCCAGACUCCUACGGGAGGCAGCAGUGGGGAAUAUUGGACAAUGGGCGCAAGCCUGAUCCAGCCAUGCCGCGUGAGUGAUGAAGGCCUUAGGGUUGUAAAGCUCUUUUGUCCGGGACGAUAAUGACGGUACCGGAAGAAUAAGCCCCGGCUAACUUCGUGCCAGCAGCCGCGGUAAUACGAAGGGGGCUAGCGUUGCUCGGAAUCACUGGGCGUAAAGGGCGCGUAGGCGGCCAUUCAAGUCGGGGGUGAAAGCCUGUGGCUCAACCACAGGAUUGCCUUCGAUACUGUUUGGCUUGAGUUUGGUAGAGGUUGGUGGAACUGCGAGU
rnacentral:rRNA from 1 species